rnacentral:rRNA from 1 species
AUUGAACGCUGGCGGCAGGCCUAACACAUGCAAGUCGAACGGCAGCGGGGGAUAGCUUGCUAUCCUGCCGGCGAGUGGCGGACGGGUGAGUAAUGCAUGGGGAGCUGCCCAAUCGAGGGGGAUAACAACUGGAAACGGUUGCUAAUACCGCAUACGCCCUGCGGGGGAAAGGUGGGGACCUUCGGGCCUACCGCGAUUGGAUGCACCCAUGUGGGAUUAGCUAGUUGGUGAGGUAACGGCUCACCAAGGCGACGAUCUCUAGCUGGUCUGAGAGGAUGACCAGCCACAAUGGAACGGAGACACGGUCCAGACUCCUACGGGAGGCAGCAGUGGGGAAUAUUGCACAAUGGGGGAAACCCUGAUGCAGCCAUGCCGCGUGUGUGAAGAAGGCCUUCGGGUUGUAAAGCACUUUCAGUGGGGAGGAAGGGCUGAUGACUAAUAUUCAUCAGCAUUGACGUUACCCACAGAAGAAGCACCGGCUAACUCCGUGCCAGCCGCCGCCGUAACAC